GACGAACGCUGGCGGCGUGCUUAACACAUGCAAGUCGAACGGAAAGGCCCUGCUUUUGUGGGGUGCUCGAUUGGCGAACGGGUGAGUAACACGUGAGUAACCUGCCCUUGACUUUGGGAUAACUUCAGGAAACUGGGGCUAAUACCGGAUAGGAGCUCCUGCUGCAUGGUGGGGGUUGGAAAGUUUCGGCGGUUGGGGAUGGACUCGCGGCUUAUCAGCUUGUUGGUGGGGUAGUGGCUUACCAAGGCUUUGACGGGUAGCCGGCCUGAGAGGGUGACCGGCCACAUUGGGACUGAGAUACGGCCCAGACUCCUACGGGAGGCAGAAGUGGGGAAUAUUGCACAAUGGGCGGAAGCCUGAUGAAGAAACGCCGCGUGCGGGAAGACGGCCUUCGGGUUGUAAACCGCUUUCGCCUGUGACGAAGCGUGAGUGACGGUAAUGGGUAAAGAAGCACCGGCUAACUACGUG
rnacentral:rRNA from 1 species